rnacentral:rRNA from 1 species
CUACGGGACGCAGCAGUGAGGAAUAUUGCACAAUGGGGGGAACCCUGAUGCAGCAACGCCGCGUGGAGGAUGACGCAUUUCGGUGUGUAAACUCCUUUUAUAUGUCAAGAAAAUGACGGUAGCAUAUGAAUAAGCACCGGCUAACUCCGUGCCAGCAGCCGCGGUAAUACGGAGGGUGCAAGCGUUACUCGGAAUCACUGGGCGUAAAGGACGCGUAGGCGGGCUUGUAAGUCAGGUGUGAAAUCCUACAGCUUAGCUGUAGAACUGCACUUGAAACUUCUAAUCUAGAGUAUGGGAGGGGGAGAUGGAAUUAGUGGUGUAGGGGUAAAAUCCGUAGAUAUCACUAGGAAUACCUAAAGCGAAGGCGAUCUCCUGGAACAUUACUGACGCUAAGGCGUGAAAGCGUGGGGAGCAAACAGGAUUAGAUACCCCCGUAGUC